rnacentral:tRNA from 1 species
GCCCCUUUAGUUAAAAGGUAUAACAAGUCCAUGGUAAGGAUUAGUUCUUGGUUCAAUUCCGAGUUGGGGCACCA